rnacentral:rRNA from 1 species
UAAGUUGGUAGUGAAGCGUUCGGCUCACCGAUAACAUUACCAACUGCAAGCUAGAGGAUGAGAGAGGUUAUUGGAAUUCCCUGUGUAGGAGUGAAUCCGUAGAUAUAGGGAGGAACACCGAUGGCGUAGGCAGAUAACUGGCUCAUUCCUGACACUAAGGCACGAAAGCGUGGGUAGCAAACGGGAUUAGAUACCCCGGUAGUCCACGCCGUAAACUAUGGAUGCUA